AAAAAAAAAAAAAAGUAAUUUCAGUUGCUUUUUGUUUGCUUGCUGAACUGGAAGAAACACCAGAAGGAAAAUUACUUUUUGUUUUCCUUUUUCUCAUUCGAGGUUUGUGUCCUGGUUCUGGUAGGGCUUUGGUGGUAAAAAUUCAAGGGAUGUCAGAAAGCCAGUCAGCUUAACUGAAAGUCUAGGAAAAAAAAUAUGGUUAUGUACAUGUCUUAUUUUGUUUUUAAGCUUGGAAAGUUAGUAUUGUUCUUAACAUUUGUUUCUUCUCCUGUUCUCAGGCUAAAGCUGCAGAAGGCUGGGAAAUUGUGGGAACAGUGAGCCAGUCUGAAACUGUGGAAAAUGUUCCUGUCGUCAGCUGCUUGGAAUUUCGGUGGAAUAAACCCAUUAUUUUAGUGAUAGGUAGCGAAGGUGAUGGCCUUUCCCUGGAGACGCAGCUCCUGUGCCACCAGAUGCUGGUCAUCCCCUCUGGCAGGGCACUGCACCCAGGCAUUGAGUCGCUGAACGUCUCCGUAGCCACUGGCAUUCUCCUGCACUCCAUCUGCAGCCAAAAGCUGAGGCACGGUGAUUGAUUUUUAUCCUGGCACAUAGUGGAAGUUGCCCAGCCAAGAUCUUUGAUGGCAAGAAACUGCUCAGUGUUCCAUGACUGUGUUCAGCAUGGAUAUGGAAGUGCGCCUUCCAGGCUCGGCACUAUCUCAGCGAGUUUCAGGAUGAGCCCCACUGACCCAGGUUGUGUUCUGGCUCAUGCACCACACCAGCAGAGCCCUGGCCCAGCACUGAAGUCAUGCCUGUGUGCAGUAGUACUUAAACAUGAGGAGACCCUUCAUUAA
rnacentral:lncRNA from 1 species